GUGAGAGCAUUUAAAUGUCACUUAUCAGCACACAUUUCAGCCCUUCCGGCAAAAGCAUGCGACUAUCUCUGGAUGAUGUGCAGAAAUGCUGGACACUCCAUCACCUAGUUUAUGUUGGACACAUGGACAGUCAGUCGCUGUAAUUGUGGUCAUCUGCUCAUCAUGCUGAGAUGAGCUUGUGAUUCAUUGAACACAGCUGGCAGAUCCUUGAGGGUUCAUCAGUCCAACUGCUUCUGAGCUGGACCUGAGAGAGACAUCUAGUGCUCAAUGCUGAUAUUACAGCUCAUUCACAAACAAAUGAGUGUAAUAUUGUCCCAGACCCUUUUCAGACUCAGCCAAAACCAGAUCGCCCUGAACAGUAUGUAAUUGGCCUGUAUAAUUGGUUCCACACUCUGCUGCAGUAGGAGUGAAAGUAGAAGACCCUCAUGCUGUGGGGUAAACUGAGCCAACCACGGGUGCAACACUCCUGUCCACUGCUGUACCGGUGGAGCGCCCGCAGCAUGAGCCGCUCUCUGGCUUUAUUUGCUGGCAUCAGUGCCAAGCUCUCCUUGGCAUUCCCUGAAGAAAGAGAACAGUUAGUAGUUCUUGGAUGCACUGAAAUAUAUUAGGCAUUAAUGAUCAGCAUGUUCUGAAAAAUCACCAAUAAUAUGUUUUAGCUUAAUGCUUAUCUGUUUUGUACAGCACAUUGCUCAACAUUAGU
rnacentral:lncRNA from 1 species